rnacentral:rRNA from 1 species
GACAGAGGGUGCAAACGUUGUUCGGAAUUACUGGGCGUAAAGCGUGUGUAGGCGGCCUAGAAAGUCGGAUGUGAAAGCCCAGGGCUCAACCCUGGAAGUGCACUCGAUACUGCUAGGCUCGAGUCUCGGAGAGGUUGGUGGAAUUCUUGGUGUAGAGGUGAAAUUCGUAGAUAUCAAGAGGAACACCGGUGGCGAAGGCGGCCAACUGGACGAAGACUGACGCUCAGACACGAAAGCAUGGGGAGCAAACAGG